rnacentral:rRNA from 1 species
AGCAGCCGCGGUAAUUCCAGCUCCAAUAGCGUAUAUUAAAGUUGUUGCAGUUAAAAAGCUCGUAGUUGAAUUUCGGGAUUAAUAUGCUGGUCGUGCCAUUGGUACGUACUAGUAUUAUUGAUUUCUCCCUUCUGAUGAAUCAUGAUGUCAUUAAUUUGAUGUCAUGGGGAAUCAGGACUGUUACUUUGAAAAAUUAGAGUGUUUAAAGCAGGCUCGCGCUUGAAUACAUUAGCAUGGAAUAAUGAAAUAGGACGUUUGAUUCUAUUUUGUUGGUUUCUAGGAUUGACGUAAUGAUUAAUAGGGAUAGUUGGGGGCAUUAGUAUUCAAUUGUCAGAGGUGAAAUUCUUGGAUUUAUUGAAGACUAACUACUGCGAAAGCAUUUGCCAAGGAUGUUUUCAUUAAUCAAGAACGAAAGUUAGGGGAUCGAAGACGAUCAGAUACCGUCGUAGUCUUAA